rnacentral:rRNA from 1 species
UACGGAGGGUGCGAGCGUUGUCCGGAAUCACUGGGCGUAAAGGGCGCGUAGGCGGGAUGGCAAGUCGGUCGUGAAAUCCCUCGGCUCAACCGAGGAACGUCGAUCGAUACUGCUGUUCUUGAGGAUUGCAGAGGAGACUGGAAUUCCCGGUGUAGCGGUGAAAUGUGUAGAGAUCGGGAGGAACACCGGUGGCGAAGGCGGGUCUCUGGGCAAUUCCUGACGCUGAGGCGCGAAAGCGUGGGGAGCAAACGGG